rnacentral:rRNA from 1 species
GCUUGUCUCAAAGAUUAAGCCAUGCAUGUCUAAGUAUAAACAAAUCUAUACUGUGAAACUGCGAAUGGCUCAUUAUAUCAGUUAUAGUUUAUUUGAUGGUCCUUGCUACUUGGAUAACCGUAGUAAUUCUAGAGCUAAUACAUGCGUCAAAACCCGACUCCUGGGAGGGUUGUAUUUAUUAGAUGGAAACCAAUGCGGGGCAACCCGGUAUAUGGUGAUUCAUAAUAACUUUCGGAUCGAUCUUCGGAUCGAUGCAUCAUUCAAGUUUCUGCCCUAUCAGCUUUGGAUGGUAGGGUAUUGGCCUACCAUGGUGGUAACGGGUGACGGAGGAUUAGGGUUCGAUUCCGGAGAGGGAGCCUGAGAAACGGCUACCACAUCCAAGGAAGGCAGCAGG